rnacentral:rRNA from 1 species
GACGAACGCUGGCGGCGUGCUUAACACAUGCAAGUCGAACGGACAGGCCCUGCUUUUGUGGGGUGCUCGAGUGGCGAACGGGUGAGUAACACGUGAGUAACCUGCCCUUGACUUUGGGAUAACUUCAGGAAACUGGGGCUAAUACCCGAUAGGAGCUCCUGCUGCAUGUUGGUGGUUGGAAAGUUUCGGCGGUUGGGGAUGGACUCGCUGCUUAUCAGCUUGUUGGUGUGGUAGUGGCUUACCAAGGCUUUGACGGGUAGCCGGCCUGAGAGGGUGACCGGGGACAAUGGGACUGAGAGACGGAGCAGAAUGGAACGGGAGGCAGCAGUGGGGAAUAUUGCACAAUGGGCGGAAGCCUGAUGCAGAAACGCCGCGAGCGGGAUGACGGGCUACGGGUUGUAAACAGAUGUCGAAUGAGACGAAGAGUGAGUGACGGUAAUGGGUAAAGAAGCACCGGCUAACUACGUG